GGCAGUAUGGUAUAGUGAUAUGAGUUCUAGACUAGGACUUUAGAAGAUCAGGGUUCAAAUCCCUGCUCAGCCA